rnacentral:tRNA from 1 species
CCUCUCGUAGCUUAGUGAUAAAAGCACCGAUGCGUGAAGUCAGAGACCUGGGUUCGAUUCCCGGCAAGGGCG